UACAGGGGGGGGCAAGCGUUGUUCGGAAUUACUGGGCGUAAAGGGCUCGUAGGUGGCCGACUAAGUCAGACGUGAAAUCCCCCAGCUUAACUGGGGAACUGCGUCUGAUACUGGAUGGCUUGAGUUUGGGAGAGGGAUGCGGAAUUCCAGGUGUAGCGGUGGAAUGCGUAGAGAUCCGGAGGAACACCAGCGGCGAAGGCGGCAUCCUGGACUGGUCCUGACACUCAGGAGCGAAAGCGUGGGGAGCGAUCCGG
rnacentral:rRNA from 1 species